rnacentral:lncRNA from 12 species
AUGUUGCCAAUAACCAUCAACAACAGCUGUCUUCCAGGCCUGGCUCUCUGGCAAAUAGCCAUCACCAAUGAAGACCUUUCUAGUGAGUACAUAUGUGGGGGAGGAUUUUCCUGGCCCUUAACCAACUUGCCUCACCAGGACUCAGGCUGUCUGGCUUUCUGUCUUCUUACAUUUCCUGGAGCUGAGGAGUUGUGGCAGAUACAAUAAUAACCAGCUUGUCAAGCCUCUUUGUUUGGCUGGGCAUCUCUCUUGCAUAGUCAGUCGACUUAGAUCCUCAUCCCCAUUUAGGCUUCUGAGCGACUGAGUGAGUUAGACUCAAUGUCACCACUUCCCUCCUGCAGCCUAUCCUCCAUUCCACUGGCUCUUCUGCCUGAGGUUGUGCAAGCAACUGGGAACAUGUCAGAAGGCAUGAAGGGGCAGCUUCUCUGGGAGAACAGCUAGGUUUCUUCCUCUGUGUGUACACAUGAACAUGCAUGCAUUCAGAGAGUUAUGGGAGGAUAUACUUAGUUGGAUUUAGAAGAUCUUAGUUUGAUCUCUGAUCCCUGGAUUCUUCUUUGUUGGAUCUUGGCCAAGACAGCUGAAUUGGGACCGUGGUUGGGAGUCCCUGGGAUCACACCUGGUGAUACACGAUCACAACGGAGUAUUGCAGCAGAUAUGGAUCUGGCAGCCCGGAAGCUUUGAAUGACGGGAUAAGCCCCCAAACCUAAGUGGCUGGAAACAACAAAGUUUAUUUCUCACCAAAAAAAAAUAAUAAUAAUA